CACGAGAGUAAACAGACGGGGCUAAUUGAUGUCAGGUGCUUUCUCUUGCUGUGCAGGAUAAAAGAGUUGCGAAGCAGAAUAUUACAACAAAAAACAUUGCAGUUAACGCGUACGCAGUAGAGGUAGGAUAAUAAAAUAACUUAAAUCAAACUCAGGUGGCCUGCAUGUGCUUUUGUCAAUCCUGCAUGAGAUUCGACCGCAGACACCACAGACAACACGGGCCGAAUGGGAUGAAUAUGAUGUGGAUGACCCCCCCUGGUAGCGAAGGUAAAGAUGGAGCCAGACGCAGCAGUGAAGUCCCAGCUGAGACCUCCUGACCCGUGACUCUCCUCUCAAUCCACUUCAGUCCAGGGAAUCAGAGAGUCCUGACAGCAGGGACCGGGUGCUGAGCCGCGUCCCCCCGUUCAUCAUCACCACAACCAACCACCCACAGCGGGCUGGCGGGGGCAGAGAGGGGGGCUGAGGGGGGCUCUCAGUUAUCUGUGUCACCCCUCUCAGCUCCCCCCACCACAGCUCUGUCUUUGGCCCUUCUCCAGAGAGACCAAAAAGCCCGUCUCUCUCUCUCCCUCUCCCAGCUCCCUGAUUGUUUUUGUUCCUGCGAGCAGACAAAUAGAGUUUGGAGUCUUACAAAAGAAAAUGCCGGAGCUCAUCUGAUCUUACUGCCCUAAGGAGCAGCCUGGCCUGAAGGGCCAGUGAUUGGAAAAUUACAGAGCUGCUCCAGCCGUAUUGUCAGGGAGUCUCAGCCAGACUCUCUUCUGUUCUGUUCAAGGCCAUCAGCUGAACGACCAAUCGUGCUCUUUUUCAAUUCAUCUAUCAAUACUGUGGAGUGAUUGGCUGUAAUUAGAUCUGGAUUAUGUGUGUAGUUAUUCUGAUUUGGGCAACUGUUUUGACUCUGUUACAAUGAAUGUGGAUAAAGAAUAAAUAAUGCUUGUUGGUCUGUA